rnacentral:rRNA from 1 species
UACGUAGGGUGCAAGCGUUAAUCGGAAUUACUGGGCGUAAAGCGUGCGCAGGCGGUUAUGUAAGACAGAUGUGAAAUGCCCGGGCUUAACCUGGGAACUGCAUUUGUGACUGCAUGGCUAGAGUUUGGCAGAGGGGGGUAGAAUUCCACGUGUAGCAGUGAAGUGGCGUAGAGAUGUGGAGGAACACCGAUGGCGAAGGCAGCCCCCUGGGUCAAGAUUGACGCUCAUGCACGAAAGGCGUGGGAGCAAACAGGAUUACGAA